CAGCAGUAUGAACAUCGGGGACAAAGCUGCUCCACACAAUGGGGGAGGGGGGGGAAGGGCCUGAGUGCGAGUGCGGCUUAGCGUUGUUCGAUUGCAAUGAUUGUUGCAUCGAGCGCAGUGUGGAGUGGGCCUUAGGGAGCGUAUUACGUAAACAGGUGUAAAAUAGAUCUUUAUGCCGCCGUAUUAGCAUAAUGUUUGUUGUCGAAAUAUUCGCGUGGCGAAGCUGAAUAUAUAAUGAGCAGACGAGUCGGCAGAUUCUCAACCCUGUGCCUUGGUCGUCGCUGUAGCAAGGAGGCAACAGCAAGUCUGGAAUAAGAAUCAGUUUGUGGCCGUAAUGAAGACAAAUGCGUGGUAGCAUUGUUGCAUGUUGCAGCGCGCGCGACAAAUUGUCGUUUGUUGAAGCUGGCGAGGCUCCAGGCGGCCGGGACGGCGACUCGUCACUUCGUAUUCCAAGCCACGCUUAAUGUCACCUCCUAAUGUUAUUUGCCUUUUAAGCUAAAGAAAAGUAUGAAUAAAUUACAAUAAAUUUAUCAUUCGUUUA